rnacentral:rRNA from 1 species
UACGUAGGGGGCGAGCGUUGUCCGAGUGUACUGGGCGUAAAGCGCUUGUAGGCGGUCCACCAAGUUUGGGGUGACAGUUGCCGACUUAAUCGGCAAAGUGCCUCAAAGACUGGCGGACUUGAGGGCCACAGAGGGACAUGGAACUCCAGGUGUAGUGGUGAAAUGCGUAGAUAUCUGGAAGAACACCAAAGGCGAAGGCAGUGUCCUGGGUGGUCGCUGACGCUGAGAGGCGAAAGCCAGGGGAGCGAACGGG